ACCCGAGGUACCCGUUCGUCACCUCCGGCGGGUUAAACGA
rnacentral:SRP_RNA from 1 species